rnacentral:rRNA from 1 species
AACGAACGCUGGCGGCAUGCCUAACACAUGCAAGUCGAACGAGACCUUCGGGUCUAGUGGCGCACGGGUGCGUAACGCGUGGGAACCUGCCCUUAGGUUCGGAAUAACUCCCCGAAAGGGGUGCUAAUACCGGAUAAUGUCUUCGGACCAAAGAUUUAUCGCCUUUGGAUGGGCCCGCGUUGGAUUAGCUAGUUGGUAGGGUAAAAGCCUACCAAGGCGACGAUCCAUAGCUGGUCUGAGAGGAUGAUCAGCCACACUGGGACUGAGGCACGGCCCAGACUCCUACGGGAGGCAGCAGUGGGGAAUAUUGGACAAUGGGCGAAAGCCUGAUCCAGCAAUGCCGCGUGAGUGAUGAAGGCCUUAGGGUUGUAAAGCUCUCUUACCCGGGAUGAUAAUGACAGUACCGGGAGAAUAAGCUCCGGCUAACUCCGUG